UCCCUAAAAUUCCUACUUUUUCCUAUUUUUUUUCAGUUUGGCUAAAAUUCCUAUUUUUUUAAAAAAAAUCAAAGGAAAUUCCUAAAAAGGCCCUAUUUUUUCACAAAGAUUCCUAAUUUUUAAACAUUUUUGCAAUGAUCAAAAGGAGAAAAUGUUUUAAAUGUUGUUUAAAAGUUCUUCUAAUUCAGAAAAAAACAGUUUAGCACAGUUCAAAGCAGUUUACCAGUGGAUCCAUGUGUUCAGCUUGUUAUUGGUUGUGACUAGAUGACAGAGAUAGGAUUUCUGAAGGAUACAGCCAACAAUAGCUGAAAACAGUGGAAAGCUGGUAGACGUCUUUUCUGUAAAUAAAGCACUAUUUGUGAGUUACUUUUAUGUCAAUCACAUAAAGGUAAGCACAUUACAUGGUCUUUAAAGUCCAUAUUUUAAUUUGAAAAUUCCUAAAUUUAGCCCUAAAAUUUCCUUUAAAUUGUACCAAAUUCCUAAUUUUAGCCCUAUUUUUUUGUACAAAUUGCCCUAAAAUUAGCCCUAAUUUUUUGUCAGGGUAUGCUAGACAGCCUGUAUAG